rnacentral:lncRNA from 1 species
GCAUGAAAGUCAUUGAGAGUCGAGCCCAAAAAGAUGAAGAAAAAAUGGAAAUUCAGGAGAUCCAACUGAAAGAGGCCAAGCACAUUGCUGAAGAUGCCGACCGCAAAUAUGAAGAGGUGGCCCGUAAGCUGGUCAUCAUUGAGAGCGACCUGGAACGUGCAGAGGAGCGGGCUGAGCUCUCAGAAGGCAAAUGUGCCGAGCUUGAAGAAGAAUUGAAAACUGUGACGAACAACUUGAAGUCACUGGAGGCUCAGGCUGAGAAGUACUCGCAGAAGGAAGACAGAUAUGAGGAAGAGAUCAAGGUCCUUUCCGACAAGCUGAAGGAGGCUGAGACUCGGGCUGAGUUUGCGGAGAGGUCAGUAACUAAAUUGGAGAAAAGCAUUGAUGACUUAGAAGACGAGCUGUACGCUCAGAAACUGAAGUACAAAGCCAUCAGCGAGGAGCUGGACCACGCUCUCAACGAUAUGACUUCCAUAUAAGUUUCUUUGCUUCACUUCUCCCAAGACUCCCUCGUCGAGCUGGAUGUCCCACCUCUCUGAGCUCUGCAUUUGUCUAUUCUCCAGCUGACCCUGGUUCUCUCUCUUAGCAUCCUGCCUUAGAGCCAGGCACACACUGUGCUUUCUAUUGUACAGAAGCUCUUCGUUUCAGUGUCAAAUAAACACUGUGUAAGCUAUUUCUGUUUGCUAUUCUUUUUACUUCUUAUUUAUUGACAUUUUAGUUUCAACAUUGAAUAAAACUACAAAGCUGCUUCACACA